GAUUAACGCUGGCGGCGUGCCUAACACAUGCAAGUCGAGCGGCAGCGAGUUUUACACUGAAUUCUGGAAGCUUCUAGUUGAAAGAGAAGAUUUAUUCAAGAAUUUUGUGUAAAAUGUCGGCGAGCGGCGGGCGGCUGAGUAACGCGUGGGAACGUACCCCAAAGUGAGGGAUAACGCAUCGAAAGGUGUGCUAAUACCGCAUAUGGUCUUCGGAUUAAAGCCUUCGGGCGCUUUGGGAACGGCCUGCGUAAGAUUAGAUAGUUGGUGGGGUAAUGGCCUACCAAGUCGACGAUCUUUAACUGGUUUGAGAGGAUGAUCAGUCAGACUGGAACUGAGACACGGUCCAGACUCCUACGGGAGGCAGCAGUGAGGAAUCUUCCACAAUGGGCGAAAGCCUGAUGGAGCAACGCCGCGUGCAGGAUGAAGGCCUUCGGGUUGUAAACUGCUUUUAUAAGUGAGGAUUAUGACAGUAACUUAUGAAUAAGGAUCGGCUAACUACGUG
rnacentral:rRNA from 1 species